rnacentral:rRNA from 1 species
GAUGAACGCUAGCUACAGGCUUAACACAUGCAAGUCGAGGGGUAACGAGAGGAAAGCUUGCUUUCCUUGUCGACGACCGGCGCAUGGGUGAGUAACGCGUAUCCAACCUGCCCCCAACUAGGGAAUAACCUUGCGAAAGUAAGACUAAUACCCUAUAAUUUCCUCAGAUGUCAUCUGACGAGGAAUAAAGAUUUAUCGGUUGUGGAUGGGGAUGCGUCUGAUUAGCUUGUUGGCGGGGUAACGGCCCACCGAGGCAACGAUCAGUAGGGGUUCCGAGAGGAAGGUCCCCCACAUUGGAACUGAGACACGGUCCAAACUCCUACGGGAGGCAGCAGUGAGGAAUAUUGGUCAAUGGGCGGAAGCCUGAACCAGCCAAGUAGCGUGCAGGAUGACGGCCCUAUGGGUUGUAAACUGCUUUUAUACAGGAAUAAAGUUAGCCACGUGUGGUUAUUUGUAGGUACUGUAUGAAUAAGGACCGGCUAAUUCCGUGCCAGCAGCCGCCGUAACAC